AUGGGGUGCAGCAGGGGCGAAAACUUCACAAUGUGCGAAAGCACGAUGAGGGAAUCCCAAGUGCUUGCACGUAAGUGUAAGCUGUUUCUUUGUUUAAAACGCAUUGAGAGUAAGGGCUGGGUAAGACGGGUGCCAGCCGCCGCGGUAAUACCUGCAGCUCAAGUGGUGGCCGCUAUUAUUGGGCCUAAAACGUCCGUAGCCGGUUUAUUAAAUGCCUGGGUAAAUCGUGUAGCUUAACUAUACGAAUUCCGGGUAGACUGAUAAACUUGAGAUCGGGAGAAGUUAGAGGUACUCCUGGGGUAGAGGUGAAAUUCUGUAAUCCUAGGGGGACCACCAGUGGCGAAGGCGUCUGACUAGAACGGGUCUGACGGUGAGGGACGAAGCCCUGGGGCGCAAACCGGAUUAGAUACCCGGGUAGUCCAGGGUGUAAACGCUGCUUGCUUGAUGUUAGUCGGGCUCCGAGCCCGAUUAGUGUCGGAGAGAAGUUGUUAAGCAAGCUGCCUGGGAAGUGCGGUCGCAAGACUGAAACUUAAAGGAAUUGGCGGGGGAGCAC
rnacentral:rRNA from 1 species